GGGUGGGGAGCGCGCCCGUUAAGAAGCCCGGCCCGUUUCGAUGGCACACAGAUCAUCGCCGCUCUUCUCGUCUUGUCCCCUUCCUCAUCUCCUCGUGUUCUCAGUCACUUCGUCCCCUCUCUGCCUCAGUGUCUGGCUUCUCCUCUUCCUGCUCUUUUUUCUUUGCUAGAUCUGCUGACUAAGGUGCUUCUGUGUGGUUAUCUAUGUUGUUUGCAGGACUUUCCAAUCGGGCGGUUUGGCUGCUGUAGGAUUGCCUUGGCUGCAUACCAUCCUUUUCCAGGCAAAAAGGCAUGAUACACCAGAUGUGAGCAACCUUCAGAAGUGUUGCAUGCUUUUAUGCUUGGAUUUGACAUUGCCGAUGCCGUUGCCUUACUUCGUCUUGAUGACCUGUAUGUGGACUCCUUCGAGAUCAAGGAUGUGAAGACACUCAGAGGGGAGCUUCUGUCACGUGCCAUUUCGCGCCUAUCAGGGAAAGGAGGCAAGACCAAGUAUGCCAUCGAGAACUCUACCAGGACUCGCAUAGUUUCCGGAUUUACCACUCGGCGGAUUUCGUUGCUGAUGGAUUGCCGUUGCUGCAUCUCCUUUUUUUUCAGCUAUGGUUUGCCCUGUUUGUCGUUGUCUGGGUGCCCCUUGUGUACCAUUGGCGCCAGAUCAUGAAGUCCCUGAAGUUUUUGAUGUUGUCCUUGAUGAGGAUUGCUUCAGGAGAAUGGCAAUCUUCCUCUGCAUCACUUUCAUUCUCACCACUACUGCAAUCCAGAUGUCCAGAAUCAACCAGAAGCUAACAUGAAGACUGAUUAAAGGAAGAGGUGGUGGGGAUCAUCUUUUACCUUGCAAAUUCAUGAAGCAGGUUCUUCUCCAGGGCGUUUGGAGGAGAAGGACUUUGCAAGGAAGAAAUUUAGCACAAGAUCUAUAGAGAGUUCAAAAGAGAUAAACACAUCUCAGGUUUGUUUCGGCGUCCAUGGCGGCGGCUGAGUCUUUGCGGUGUCGGGGAUGAAAGUGGAGGAAGAAGACCUAGUGGCUCUGCGCGUUAGGUGGAUUCUGUAUAGUGGGUUUGUCUCUUAGCGGGUUCAGGCCCGUUUUAGUUUUUGGCUGAUGACUGAAGGCAGAAAUAUAAAGUCAGAACUCUUUUUUCAGCCCGUUUGACUGCUGGCCUUUUUCGACUGACCACAACUUUGGGUCAGUUAAUUUGUUCUGAAUAGUUAUGUUUCCUUACCUUCUACAAA